UUCCUACGGGAGGCUGCAGUAAGGAAUAUUGGUCAAUGGGCGCAAGCCUGAACCAGCCAUGCCGCGUGCAGGAAGACGGCCCUAUGGGUUGUAAACUGCUUUUGUACGGGAAAAAACCUCCGGUCGUGAACCGGAGCUGAUGGUACCGUAAGAAUAAGCAUCGGCUAACUCCGUGCCAGCAGCCGCGGUAAUACGGAGGAUGCAAGCGUUAUCCGGAUUCAUUGGGUUUAAAGGGUGCGCAGGCGGAACGAUAAGUCAGUGGUGAAAUCCUGCAGCUUAACUGCAGAACUGCCAUUGAUACUGCCGUUCUUGAGUAUAGUUGAAGUGGGCGGAAUGUGUCAUGUAGCGGUGAAAUGCUUAGAUAUGACACAGAACACCGAUCGCGAAGGCAGCUCGCUAAGCUAUAACUGACGCUCAUGCACGAAAGCGUGGGGAUCAAACAGGAUUAGAUACCCUGGUAGUC
rnacentral:rRNA from 1 species